rnacentral:lncRNA from 1 species
AUGCCCUCCGGGGGCCGCUCUCCCUCGCCGCCGCCCCACGGCCCCCGCCGGGCCGGGGCAAAGGGACGGCCCGUGGGCAGCGACCGCUCCCCGGCUCCCGGAGGAGACAGCCCGGCCCUGGCGCCAGCCUCGGAGGAACUUGCGGCAGCGGUGCCCCGAAGGGGCUGCAGCGGCUGCAAGGGGAGAGGCGGUUCCCGCGGUGUGCCGGCGAUGCGAGCACCGCUGUGUUCGCCUAGCAGUCUCUCUGCCAGGCAGGGUCAGUUUUGGUAUUGCAUGAGAGGAAAAAAGGUGGUGCUGGAGGAGGGGGGAGUGAAUUGGAAAGGAGGGGUGGGAGGAGGAGAAGGGGAGGGGGGAGAGGUUGCUCUAAUCCACUGCAAUACGGAUCAAAUCCAGUGCUCUAAUUUAUCCCUUAAAGCCACGGAUCUACAGAUUACCUCUACGACCGCUGCCCCGUUCUGCACGAAAUUAGAAAAUAUACAAAACAGCUGGUCAAGUGCUGUCCGGAUGCAACCUGCGGAGCUCGGCUGCCGAGCCGGAGCAGCCCCACAGCUGCAGCCGCAGCUGUGGCCGGGCAGGACGCAUCCCCGCCGGGCAGGCGGUCACCCCGGCCGCGGGGCUCAGCCUGCAGGCUCGGGGCACGGGGCAGCCCGGUGGGCACACGCGGCGGGCAGCGAGCUGGGUGGCGGUGCGGCUGCCCCGAGCACCCCCGCGCCCGCAGCCGCAAGGAUUCCCCAGCGCCGGUGUCUGCAGAGCCCCGGCGGCCCGGACCCGCUCGGCCCCGCGGCGCUGCGGGCUGCCCGCUGCCACCUUGCAGUCCCCUUGUCCCCCGGCGCGCCGGGAGCCGCCCGGUACCGGCGUGUGUGGCGCCGGCGGAGCCGCUCCUACAGCCGGCCAUGCCGAGUGAGAUCCCCGCGGCAGCGGAGCCGGAGUGCGCCCGGAGUCUGCCCUGUUCUUCCUCUCCCUUCCUGCUCUUCUCCUGUCCGUCUUUUCUCUGCCCCUGUCCUCUGUCUGUCUCUCUCCGUCCAGUGUCUUAUGUCCCUCCCUGUUCCUGUCCUUGUCCCUGUGCUUUUCAACCACGGACUUCUCCUCCCUCCGGAGUCCCGUUCCUGUCCGGGGGUCUCCCUUCCCGAUCCUCCCCGUGCUCCCGCCCCGGCCGGGCUCCCCGUAGCUGUCCCUUCAGCACCCGCCGCCCCUGCAGCAGCUCCGUCCGCCUCCCACCGAGCACAACCCGCCCCAGGAGAAGAGAAAGGUGUUCUUGGGCCUCUGAGGUCCUCACAACUCCCACGGGGAGAGCAGAAGGGUGGGAAGAGGCAUUCUGCCCCUCCAGCCCGCAGACCACCAUUCCUCCCCACAGUGUGGGUGAGGCAGGCAAGGUGA